GGGAGGAGGCUUCUGCUUGGCUUGUCUGUGGCCGUGGGAGAGAGAAAUGAUGGCAUGUGGAGAGAAAAAGUCAAGGGACUGGAAAAGGCAGAAGCAGCCAGAUGAAAUGGAAGGUCCGGAGUGGGAAAUCCCUUGAUUUGCAGCUGGAACUGGUCUCAUCAUAGGAAGCCUGCCCCAGAUUCCUUUCUAAUCUGUCUCCGAGCAUAUGUUUCUGUUCACCAAAUAAUUCUACUUGCCACUGACACUGCUCACCACUGUCAAUAUCUGCUGUGUUCUGAGAUCCCCUCCUCAUCACUGGGCCCAUACAUACCUCUUUAAAUUUCCUUCCAGAGUCUGUGUGUCAAAUGCCCUUACUGGUCAGAAGGGUGAAGUUUCUUGCAAAGAUGAGCAUAGCUGUUCAAAAGAGAACUUCAGUUGCCUGGGAAGUUCCAGCCUUUGAUUUUUGUCAGGUCUCCUAUAAGGCAGAAGAGAAUGAGAAACUGUGUUCACCAAUGAUGCUGAUACUGAAAGGUUGUGCCCCUGGAGAUGAGAGAUUCUGUGUACAAA